UACGUAGGGUGCAAGCGUUAAUCGGAAUUACUGGGCGUAAAGCGUGCGCAGGCGGUUUUGUAAGUCUGUCGUGAAAUCCCCGGGCUCAACCUGGGAAUUGCGAUGGAGACUGCAAGGCUAGAAUCUGGCAGAGGGGGGGUAGAAUUCCACGUGUAGCAGUGAAAUGCGUAGAGAUGUGGAGGAACACCGAUGGCGAAGGCAGCCCCCUGGGUCAAGAUUGACGCUCAUGCACGAAAGGCGUGGGAGCAAACAGG
rnacentral:rRNA from 1 species